GAGUAGCAAACCUAACCCUAGCCUCCAGGCCUCUGCCACCACCACUCCCUUCUCACCGCCACGUUGUCGGUGGGAAAGCCCACGCGGCGACCAAGGACGGCAGCGGAGGGACAUCUUGGGUUUCUUCUUCUAGUCGUUUGGGCGCGUGUGUUCUAGCUGAGCAUGGUUUCUUGGUGUUGCUUCGAUGGAUUUCCAGGGGUCAUGUCGAGAUGCAAUGGUUGCUGUAUCAGGUUAAUUCAGGUGUGCAUUCAUUUCCUCGCCCCUCCCCCUACCACAUUGUCUCGAUCGUUACUUGCCAGAUUUGGUGGAGGUUCUGUCAGAUCUGGUGGGGGUUCUACCAGAUUUGGCGGAGGUUCUGUCGGAUCUGGUGGGGGUUCUACCAGAUCUGGCGGAGGUUCUUCCAGAUCUGGCGGUUCUUCCUCCUAGUGGCUUGUCUCCGACCAGUAGUGAGUGGAAUUUCAUCGUUUGGUUCUCCACCCCGUUGAUUCCAUUGCCGAUUUGGUCAUUUGUCGUCAGCUCGUCUCCCGCCGGUGGUGAAUAUGGGAUUUGGUAAUUGGUCACUUAUGAUCGAGGGCUUCUUGUUUGUGAUGGUGUGGACGUCAUUUCGGUUCGAUAUCUUUCGCAGAUCAUGCGGCAAUUCCAGAUUUAGGUCAUCAGUCACGAUGGUUUUCAUCAUGGUGCUUUCUUGUGCUCUUGCUCCCCUCUAGUUGGUUCUUGUCCACCUUCUCGACCCCUCUUCUACGGCUUUGGUAAAGACCGAUCUGGUAGCAUUAGAAUGGCCUUGGAUUUUGCAAGAAGUGUUUAUCUUAUGGUUGGUUGUUGUUUAGUCCUUGUGGUGCUUGUGUGCGUCAGCCGUUGUCGUCGUAGGUCAUCAUAGGCGAUCGUGGUUGUCGUGUUUAGGUCGUGUUGUAGUUGACUGGCGUUCAGGCUCUCGCAUCAGAUGUUUAUCGCUUUUCGUGCGGUAUGGCAUACUUUUGCUCUACCUUAGGUUGGGUUUGGUCAUCUCUUGCUUGUGGAUCUUGAUCCUUAGGUUGUUUAGAUUCUUCCUUUUCGGUUGUGCCUCUUGGUGUUGUAUGGUUCGCGCCUUCUAUGGCGAUGUAUCAUUUUCCUCCCAUAAUGAAUUGACAUGUAGCACUCCUGCUGGUUCAAGAAAAAUGAUUAUUUGACUUAGCUUACUUCAUUUUGGUAUCAAGAUAAAAGAAUCAUAGAAUUCUGCAGUCUUCCAUUAGAAGUAUUAUUAUGAACUUUUUUCAUCGAACUCCCGGUCUCAAGUCUCAAAUAUGGUAUAAGCAACUCCAGAGGGUGUUAAAGCUUCAACAAGAUCUAUGUGGGCCUCGUUUGGAGCCGCUCCUAUAAAUUCAUUUUUGUGUAGAAUUAGGUUGUCUAGUUUCUAACCAUAUAUUGUAAAACACAUUGACACACUUCAAUAAAUUUGGAAUUUAACCAAGUUUGUCUUCGUAUGGCAUUGUAGUCAUUUAGCAAGGUUCCAUUGCAGAAGACAUAAUGGUACAAAGUUUAACCAAUCAAGCAGUGUCCGACCCAAGAUUGGGACGAACAAGGGUUAUUGUUGGGUUAUUCAAUGGAGCAAGGUACCUCACCUACUCAUCACUAGCGACUGCGAAGCUAUCAAGCAUUGUCAUCGUCCUCGCCCUGGCUAACCUCAACCUCUGAGUUCGCCAUUAUAACCAAGUAAGUUCUUGCUUCAAACCACACCUUUAACAAGAUUCUUUCUCUGAAAAUUACACUCAAUCUGUCACAAUUGUCUUAGCCAAGCCAAAGCAUAGCAAAGAAUUUUCCUGGGCUUAGAUCUUAAAAGUAAAUUCCAAAGUGAGUUUUCUAGAUUGCUAAAAUCAUGCAUUUUUUUAACUAUGUCAACCUUAAUUAAACAAUAGCCAUGUUUGUUACAAGAGAUGGGAUUAGAAAGUCUGGAGGAUGUUCACGUCAUUCCUGAAAGUUUCUCUUUAUAACUUGCUGCGAGCUAGUGAAUGUGCAACAACAUUGCUCUCUCGGGCACAAUGUGCAAUCAUUGCCCUGCCAAAAGAACUCAACAAUGUAGCCAAUCAUCGAUCACCAUUGACCCCGAAGCUCGGCACUCUAAAGGAUCUAGGAUGGCAUGCCCAAUCUCCAUUGAGUCAUAUUCUACCACCACCGAGUAAAAUCCUCAACUCAUCUACCAAGCGCAGCCCCUCGAACAACAUGAAUGCCUCCAUCAAGACGUCCAUGGAGAACUCCUAAUAUGAACAAGAUGCAGCAAUGAACUUCUCAUUUGAGUCCCAGAGCAAAGCUCCCGCUGCACUAGACUCUGGAUGGAAGCUAGCAUCAACAUUCAGUUUUAUAGUUCCUGAAGUCAGUCCAAUCCACUUCAUUUAUCUUGUUGUUUCCUUUACCUAUGUUGCUAACACAUUCGCCACAAUCCCCUUGAUGCUUAAAGCCUAUCGUACAGGGGGCGUUUUCACCUCAUGGGCGAUUUUGCACCAAUCCCACUAGAUGUACCAUCAUGCCACCAUGAUAGUACGAAUUCCAUUACAAUUGGGACGCCCGUUCCUGCUGGGAGCUCAGCACAUACCAACUCUUCAAGGAUCGUUGCCCCAGAUAGCUCUUGAACAACAACUGAUUCGGUAUAGUCCCUAAGACAAGUUCCUCCCACACCUCCAUAGCUCUGUCACAAAUAAAAACCAUGUGCCAGAGAUCCUCCCGAUCAGUACAAUAGACUGUAUAGACAACUAGAGUUUUAUAUGUUGGUCCGCCAACGUGCAACACCUGGGAACUAUGUCGCGCAAAACCCUUCAAUUGAAAAUAUGAACUUUCGAGGAUAUAGAUCUUCCCCAGAAAAAGUUCCAAACCAGAUGUGGACCCAUGCUUCCUUCUCCCACAUUAAGUCGGACCCUCAAUCUAUAUUCUCUUUCCUCCAAGCCACAUGGUACGCCGAUCUCAUGGUGAAGCAUCUUGACUUGGUAAAGUGCCAUGCAAUAAAGUUUGAUUGACCAUGUGAAGGUAGAGGGAUUUGAAGAAUUCUCACAACGUCAACUGGCCAAAACCAUCCUCGAUCAUUUGCACGUCCUAGUUCCCUAAAAUUGGAUCAAUUAAGUCAUGAACUGUCUGUAACAAACACUGCCCCCAUGAGUAAUUAUGGUGUGAUCUUGGCUCAUCGGGAUCCAUCGUCCUUCCAAAAAUUAAUUGUUGCACCAUCUCUAGGUCGCCAUAUAGCUCCGUGUUUAAGAGUUUUCAAACCAAAUAGAAUGCUCCGCCAUGUGUAUGACGAUUUGUUCUUCAACAUAGCCUUACAGAAGUCCUAAUCUAGAUAAUACUUAGCUUGAAGGACCUGAGAACAUGGUGAUUAUGGUUCAGACAAUAAUCUCCAACAUUGUUUUGCUAGCAUUGCUUUUUUGAAACAAUGUAAGUCUUCAAACCCCAUGCCACCUUAAUUUUUGGAACACGCAUUUUCCACCGCGCCUUCCAAUGCAAUUUUCGUUUACCUUGAGUGCCAACCCACCAGAAUCUAGCAAUAGCAUCAUAGACGGCCUUACAUAUAUACUCCGAGAUAUUAAAAACAAACAUAUCAUAGACUGGGAUUGCCUAUGAAACUACCUUCAGAAGUAUCUCUUUCCAACUAAUAGAUAACAUCCCCCCCCCCUACAGUGAAGAGACAACAUCUUUGAUAGCCAACCAUUGAUAAGUGCGCAAAGCCUAUCAAAAAGAUGUUGGAAGCAAUCACUAUGGUCAAAUGGUGGUAAUCCCAAAUACUUAUCAGUCACUGCCUCUAAAACAAUGUUAAGCUAUGCACAUACCUCAUCUCGUACCUCCAUGGUCGUAUUAGGGCUGAAAAAAACAAUGGUCUUUGCAUUGCGAACCAACUGCCCAAAGCUUGCACGAUACAUAUCUAGAGCAUUUGGGAGUGUCGUGGCAUUCGACGCAUCCGCUCUCCUCAAUAUUAGGGAGUCGUAAGCAAAUAACAAGCAUGAAACUGAUGGUGCACUACGGCACACCCUAAGCCCUUGGAUACCGCCGAUCUCCUCAUGUACUAGAAAACUAAAUAAACCCUCACCACAAAAUCAAGAACAGGCAAGGCGAUAGGGAUCCCCUUGCCUGAGGCCCCUCAUAGGGGUAAAUGUAUAUGUUUCAUUUGAAUUGAACUAAACCUUGUCGGCUGAUGACUGAACAACCAUGGUCCUCAUGCAUUGCAAUAUUCCACUUCCCAAAGCAUAGGAACUCAGUUAUGAAUGUGUAGUCAUCCAAGGGCCUGAAUUUGACCUCCUUUGAGCAACCCCAGGCAACUUGCAUGGCUGUGAAGAGCAUCGUAUGGCUGAAGGGAGUUCAGACACAAGGCCUGAGAAUCAUCGCCCAAAGCAUCUCCCGUGUGGGCGUCCCGAUCAGUCCCGAGAGAUCCACCACCUCUCCUUACUCUUCUGUGAUCUCCAUCCUUUGGAGAAGAGCAUCAUCUUUGUUGCUGGGUUUCCUAUGUUCUUUGUUGAGGCUUCCCCCGUCCCGCUACCCUUGAAUUCGACGUUGCCGAUAGAGAUGCGGCCCAGAUGACGCACACUCACCAUGUGCGAAGAAGUUCUAAUCCUAGGGCACUACUCCGGCGUCAUCCCUCCAGGGGUAAGGUAAGGUACCAGUUUAUACAGUAGAAAAGAAAAUCAGAAUACCAAAAACCAUUCAGACUUCAACACGAAGAAAACCACCAGGGGUAAGGUAACACUGGUACUGCUGCUAGUAUAAACUGGGGCAACCAUCCAUCCCAAUAAUCAGCCAUGCAAUUGCAUCUUUAGCUACAAAAUUACACAUGUGACUGCAUGCUUCAACUUCCUAGCUACAUGUAACACCACGGUUCCAACUCCAAAAAAAAAAAGUAUCCACGGUUUUGCGGAAUUUCCUACUGUUGCGGCGGUCCUCCCGCGUUUUCCUCCUCCCCGCCCUCCGGCGCGCGCGCGGCCAGCGCCGCCGACACCGCGGCGUCGUACCCGUCCGCCGAUGCCGCGGCGAACUCGGCCAUGGCGCCGGUGACGGCUCCCAAGCCGGCGCAGAGCACGCGCCCCGCCAUGCCCUCCAUGCCCGCGGCGGCUCCCGAGCACACCGACCCUACGCCGGCCACGAAGAAGUCCAGCCCGUCCAUCACCCGCGCCUCUGAAGCCGCUUCGACGACGAGCCCCCACUCCAUGCACACCAGGAACGCCGGCGGCACGGUGCGCGGCGCCGCGGCGCCCGCGCCAAUGCCCAGGCAGCGUCGUGCCCAGGCGGCCAGGGCGCGCGCGUACGCGCGCUGCGCCGAUAGCCAGGCGUCCAGGGCUCCGCGCCAGGCUCGCACCUCGCACUCGAGCGCGACGGCGGCGGGAGGCGGCGUCGUCGCCUCUGGAGGACCGAGAGCCACGGUGGUCGCGGCCGAUGCGCGGUGUUGCAGGAAGAGAAGCUUGGCGUCGUCGAUGGUCCGCUUCUGAGCCUCGUGGCGUUCAGCCAUGGCUCGCCACAUCCGCGACAGUCUGCACAAUGCAACAACAGCUCUGUCAUUAUCAAAGGCUACGAUCAGGCAAGAUCCCUCAAAUUCACGUGCAUUCCUACAUCAGCAUGCCUACUAUGAUCAAUAACCCAACAGCUACUCACCCUUUGUUUGCUGAAAAUUUUAGCGGUAUCAUAUCAUCAGUAAAUUCCAAGUAUAGGAACUGUGACAUUUUUAAGUCGUGACUGCCUGGCUGGCCAUCAUCUACUCUUACUUGAUUGGACUAUGCCCAUUGUUUGACCAAUUAACAUAUUAUUUAUGAAAUGUCGGCUUAUAAAAAUUGUACUAACUUCUCAAUGGUGAGCAGAAGCAUACCCUUGGAUAAGCUCCAUAAGUUGAGGGUGCAACUCCUCGUCUCUUAGAACUUCAAUUCUUCUUGAUAUUGACUGAACAGUUUGUAUUGACACCUUCAUCCGAGUUUGUAAGCUUCUCAACGCUGAACGAGUCUUAUCGACAGAAGAAGGCUCCUCCCCUUUCACAUCCUGGCUCCGCAAAUGUGCCAUCCUCUUCUCAUACUCAAGUCUUAAUCGCUCACCCACCUACAAGUGACAAAGGCAUGACUUCCGCUAGUCGGUUCUACUGAUCUGUUGGUAUAGGUUCGUGACGGUGACAAAGAUCAUACCUUCACUUCUUUGUAUAAUUUCUUCUCCCAUGUAUACAGUCUAUCAAGAGUGGAGUGAUGACUUCCAGACAUUGUGCUGCAAGAUUCUUCAGAGUAACAGCUGCUUGUAUCAUUGUCAAAAAGAUCAUCUAUUGAGCCAGAGGAAGCAAGAAGGAAGCGGGAAGAUGAUGAUCGAAUUGAUGCAGAUCGCAAAAGUGCGACUGGGUUUAGCAUCUUUACUGCAUUAAAAAAAUCAUGAGGAAGUUCAGCGACUGAAAUCUGAAACAUUUUAAAUAAUAACUUCAGUAUUGGUUUAUAAAAGUGGUACCAGAGAGAUCAUUUGAGGUUGAGUAUUGAGCUCGACUUGCCUCCAACAUCCGUGAGACUUCCUGAGCAGCGCUACAGAUCCCCAAGAACUGACUGUCAAUAUCUUUCAUAGCCUCGACCAAACUCGUUGGCUUUCGGUUCAGAUACACAGUGAAACCUGGGGUUUCUUCUGCAUUUGCUACUUUGUUCCUCAUUAGUUCUUUCUUAUGUGCCUUGAUCUCAUGGUCUACUGCAUUUCGGGGCUCGGAUGAGCCUGCGCAUUGAACACCUUUGGAUUGAUGUCCCUUUUGUUCUUGCUUGACAUUGACUUCAGAUUUUCCUGGGCGAGCCUCGUUAGAAGCCAUACAUCUUUGGUCAUCUGAAUGCUCACAUUCAUCAGAUUCUUCUUCUUCAUCAUCAUCCUCAUCAGAUUCUUCUUCAUCAUCAUCAUCCUCCCCCUCCCCCUCCCCCUCUUUGUUGUGCAUUUGUUCAUGUUUUUGACAUUCAUCAUCUUCCUCUUCGAGUUCUGGGAUUCCUUCCUCCUCUCUUACCCGCUGUAACCGUGCCAAUUCAUCGUCAGUGACCACAUUGUCAUAGCUACUCCGAGGGCGCGGGUACGGAUAGCUGUCCAGCGACGAGAAUGGAUUCCAGAAGGAGUCCCACGGUGAUGAUUCUGGUUCCUGGGGUGAUGAGGGUGGGUAGUUUGGCCUGUCAUGAGAUGCGUAAUAAGAUGUCCUCCUUGGAUCCUGGGGUGGAGCAGGUGGAUAGCUUUGCCUGUCAUAAGGUGGCGUGUAAUAAGAGGAAUUCCUCACUGGCUCCUGGGGUGAUGGAGGUACGUAGUUUGGCCUCUCAUAGGGUGGCAUGUAAUAAGAAUUCCUCACUGGCUCCUGGGGUGAUGGAGCAUAAGGUGGCAUGUAAUAAGAAGAAUUCUUCACUGGAUCCUGGGGUGAUGAAGGUACGUAGUUUGGCCUGUCAUAAGGUGGCAUGUAAUGAGCAUUCCUCACUGGUUCCUGGGGUGAUGGAGCUACAUAGCUUGGCCUGUCAUAAGGUGGCAUGUAAUAAGCAUUCCUCACUGGUUCCUGGGGUGAUGGAGCUACAUAGCUUGGCCUGUCAUAAGGUGUAUAGUGAGAAGAUGGCCUCAUCGGUGAGGAAUUGGCUGGGAAGAAUCUAUCUGUGCCAGCAUAGCCAUCCACAGGGUAAUGUGACUCAACACGGAUUGUUUCCACGGGCCGUGGAGCCUCUUCAACUGACACUGAUGGGUUUGGUCCUGACAUCAAGUACUUCGCGACAUGAACAGUCCUCUUCUCAUACGAACCAUAAGGAAGGCCGAGCAUCUCUGGCUUCUGUUGCUUGACAGGAGAAAUGAAUGGGUCAAAAAUGAGCUCGUGCCGAUCAUCUCCAGCAACGAACCGCUGCAGGGCCAUCGAGACACAUUUCAUGGACUCGAUGUAGGCGAUGUGAGAGGACGCAAAACGGUUGUGCUGAUCCAGUGCCUGCUUGAUGAAGUCCCUCCUGUCCCGGCACAUCUUGACAGCCUCCUCAUCUUCCAAUCUGGAAGCAGCACAUCCCAUGUCUCCAGAGCCUUGUGUUGUCAAGAAUAUGUCAUGCCCGGGCCAGAACUUCGGAGUCUUAACAUGUCAAAACACAGAAAAGGAACGCGACAGGUAAGUUUCAGCUCCAAUAAACCAAGUAUCAUGUGUAAGUGCAGAAAUUACCUGAUACUGUACAGUGGUCAAUUGUUGGCAACCUGUGCAUUGCAGCUGAAGCCAAUGAAUUGGAAGAUGAUUCGUACCAACCUACAAUCAGGC
rnacentral:lncRNA from 1 species